AAAUAGGUAAGCUAAAAUAAGCUAUUGGGCUCAUAACCCAACAAUGGACUUUCAUCCUCUAUUUA
rnacentral:tRNA from 1 species